rnacentral:tRNA from 1 species
GCCCCGGUAGCUCAGCGGUGGAGCGGCGGCCUCGUAAGCCGCAGGACCCGGGUUCAAAUCCCGGCCGGGGCU